rnacentral:rRNA from 1 species
UCAGUAACACGUAGCUAACCUACCCUUAGGACGUUUAUACCCCCGAGAAAUUGGGGCUAAUGAACGAUAGAUGUGAUGUCCUGGAAUGGUAUUACGUCUAAAAGUAUAUCAUACAUGUUUGAUAUACGCCUAAGGACGGGGCUGCGGCUGAUCAGGCUGUUGGUGAGGUAAUGGCUCACCAAACCAUUGACCAGUACGGGCCAUGAGAGUGGUAGCCCGGAGAUGGACACUGAGACAAGGGUCCAGGCCCUACGGGGCGCAGCAGGCGCGAAACCUCCUCAAUGCACUAAAGUGCGAAGGGGUUACCUCGAGUGCCAUCUGAUGAAGGUGGCUUUUCCUUGGUCUAAAAAGCCUAGGGAAUAAGAGGGGGGCAAGACUGGUGUCAGCCGCCGCGGUAACACCAGCCCCUCGAGUGGUGGGGAUGAUUAUUUGGCCUAAAGCGUCCGUAGCCGGCCGGGUAAGUUUCCCGUUAAAUCCGACGUCUCAAGCGUUGGACUGCGGGAAAUACUGCCUGGCUAGAGAGUGGGAGAGGUCAGCGGUAUUCUGGGGGUAG